CCUACGGGAGGCAGCAGUGGGGAAUAUUGCACAAUGGGGGAAACCCUGAUGCAGCGACGCCGCGUGAGUGAAGAAGUAAUUCGUUAUGUAAAGUUCUAUCAGCGGGGAAGAAAAUGACGGUACUUGAGUAAGAAGCCCCGGCUAACUACGUGCCAGCAGCCGCGGUAAUACGUAGGGGGCACGCGUUAUCCGGCGUUACUGGGUGAAAAGGGAGCGGAGACGGCAGGGCAAGUCUGGUGUGAAAGGCGGGGGCUCAACCCCCGGACUGCUCUGGAAACUGGACGGCUGGAGUGCAGGAGAGGUGAGUAGAAGUCCUGGUGUAGCGGUGAAAUGCGUAGAGAUUAGGAGGAACACCAGUGGCGAAGGCGGCUUACUGGACUGUAACUGACGUUGAGGUUCGAAAGCGUGGGGAGCAAACAGGAUUAGAUACCCUGGUAGUC
rnacentral:rRNA from 1 species